UACGAAGGGGGCUAGCGUUGCUCGGAAUCACUGGGCGUAAAGGGUGCGUAGGCGGGUCUUUAAGUCAGGGGUGAAAUCCCGAGGCUCAACCUCGGAACUGCCUUUGAUACUGGGGAUCUCGAGUUCGGGAGAGGUGAGUGGAAUUGCGAGUGUAGAGGUGAAAUUCGUAGAUAUUCGCAAGAACACCAGUGGCGAAGGCGGCUCACUGGCCCGAUACUGACGCUGAGGUGCGAAAGCGUGGGGAGCAAACAGG
rnacentral:rRNA from 1 species